GUUGACAACUUACUGUGAGCAGUACUGUGUGAAAUUUUAAGUGAAUAACUAAUGCCCUUUCCACCGGCUCAGCUCGCUUUCAGAGCUUUUCCACCGGCCCUGGUUUGGUGGCUGACGCAAGCUUCGCUCCUGUUGACUGAUUGGCUGAGGGCGAGAGGGACGGAGCAGCAAAGACAGAAGAAAAACGAAGGCGCAAGUUUCAAACUCGCUGCAACACGGAAGUGAUGGAAGAUACAAACAAGCGGUGAACAAAAAUGUCUGCUUUUCUUUGCAUCAGAUUUCAAUAUUCAGCAGCAGCUCGAUGGAGCCGUGAAGAAUGAGUGGUUUUUGUCACCGUAGUGGAGAGAAUGGAAAGUCUCGUUAGCCGCUUGGAGCCCCACGGUGAACCCCGACUCAGACGCAGCUGACGCCGCUGCUGCUCUCCAGCCAGGGAGCAGAAGGAGAGCAACAUGGCUGACAUGAUGGAGAACGAUGAGGAGAACCAUCAGAACAACAGGAUCUCCUUCAGGAGGAAGCAGCUACCAGCAGAUAUGGCAGAGCUCCAUGGAGAGUUGAGACAAAAUAGAAGAAAAAUGCUGUUGUCUCAGUGAACAAAGUCUUUUUUAUAUAUACUCAUUCCACACAUUAUUGUAUAUAUUGUAGUUUGUAUCAAGGUCCUAAUACAAUCCUCCCAAAAUAUGAGGAACUACAGAGUGAAAGUAACAUUAUAUUAUAUAAAUAUUUCAUUGACACUUAACAUUAUAGAUUACCAAUGAAGCCAUCCGAAACUGAAUACAUUAUUCAGCAAACCAAACAUUUUGACAUUAUUAUCAGGGUUUCUAUUAACAAGAAACCUAAAUGCAAAUCAUUUAUGUUAAUUUCUACUUUAUACAUCAUUCUAUCCACUCACUGUUUAUCUGUCUUCCUGCAGAAUCUUCAGUGCAAGAGAGUGAGAAAACAUGUCCAAAACCUGUAACCUUAAUUAGUGAUAAGACUGAAUUUAAAGUUUUAAGCCCCGAUCAAUUAGUGACCAAAAUGUGAAAACAUGGAGGUUUGAUUAAAACUAGAACCAGUCAGAUUGGAAGGAAUUAAGCUUUAUUUGUUCUCAGUAUAACUUGAACAUCAGAUGAAUCAUAUUUAAACGUAUAGAGAAGUUAAAAACAACAAAUUGUUAAUGCACUUCAACUCUGUAAGAUCAGCCACAUUUUUUUAUCAGAAAUGUUUCAUCAGCAUAUUGAGCUCAUGUGAUUCCUGCUCCAGAAAGGUGAACUCUGAUGAGAUCCUACAACCCAAAGGCUGCAGAAGAACCACGAUGGUCUGCGGCGGCAGUUUACCAACAAGAAAACACAUUGAAAUAUAUUAUGAAUGUGCGGCGCCAACAUGCAAUUCUGACACUAUUAAGUUGUUUCCAACACCCUGACUAACAUUAGCUCAUGUAUAUUCAGCAAUGUAUUACAAGUUUUAUCGUAGUUUAAUACAAAAAUCAUCGUUAGCUCACCUGCACCGUCAGAGCCACCUGCUUUCCUCCCACUGCAAAGUGGAGAUCAGCUCCUCCUCGACACAUCACAGCAUUCCUCCCACCACACAUUUUCUUGAAGUCUCAGAAUAAUCACAAUCAGGCUAUAAAAAAA